rnacentral:rRNA from 1 species
AUGAGUCUGCUAUGCUGGAACUGUCGCGGGAUUGGCAAACCUGCGACAGUUAAAGAGCUUCGUGAUCUAACAAGGCAACUUGCCCCCUCUGUACUUUGUAUCCUUGAAACCCAAAUAGAGGGAACUAGAGUCGAAAACUUGGCUGGUUCUUUAGGUUUUGAUAAGAGUUUUGCUGUUAGUAGUUCUGGUAGAAGUGGUGGAUUAGGAAUGUUUUGGAAUGAAGAAAUAAAGCUUGAGGUUAUCGGGUACUCUAAGUAUCACAUUGAUGCAGUCAUUAAUGAUAUGAUGGAUGUUAAAACAAGGGUUACAUUCGUUUACGGAGAAGCCCAAGUAAACGAAAGAUAUAAGACAUGGGACACGCUAAGGGGAAUUGUCGGCUCUAACAAUAUACCCUGGCUAGUCUUAGGCGAUUUUAACGAGGUACUUCAUGCACAUGAACAUGACGGAGUAGGGAACAGAAGUCAAGCACAAAUGGAUGCCUUUAGGGAUGCUUUGGAUACGUGCGGCCUAUCUGACAUAGGUUACACGGGUACGGAUUGGACCUUUGAACGGAAGGUGGUGUUGGAUAACGCAACAAUAAUUCAAAAUUUUCCUACGUGUCACCAAGAUCAAUCUAGGAGAUACUAG